UCUUCCUUUCCAACCAAAUGAUUCGAAAAUUUCAGCUUCUCCCUGUUCCCGAUGUUUUUGUCGAAAAUAUUGAAUAUGAUAUACUACUGCUACUCCCUCCCACAAUGCUUGUUCAAAUGAGUCAUGAAUGUCAAGAAUGGAGAGGUAUUAUUUCAGAACCAGUUUUUUGUAAGAGGAAUCUGAGGCUCGCAGGCAGUCAACAAGUGCUUCUCGUUUUAAGAGAUUCAUAUCCAAUUGAUGUUGAUGAAGAUGAAGUGGAAAACAGGCACAUAGUAUUUUGUCGUCAUCCAAUCUCCAACAUAGAGAAUACUCUCAAUAUGAAUGACAACAGUGAUUUCCACUACUGGGAUCUAACUCUCAAUGAACAGGUUCCUUUUCCUGAUUUUUUUUCUGGCAUGAUGUUAGAUUCUCUACCCGUUUCUGAUGGACUUUUUUGUUAUAACAAUAUGUUGGAUAACCCUAAUUUGUUGAUGAUAUGGAAUCCAACUCUUGGAAAAUAUAAGGAAAUGGAGUGUUGGAGGCCAAUAACAAAAUCCUACGUAUUAGUACCCUCUCUAGGCUAUUCGAAUCACUUGGGCGCUUAUGUUUUCUUUGCCGUUUUUCUUAAUUUAUAUGAAAAAUGUGAUGGGACUUUCUUCCAGAUGUAUAAUCUUAGGGACCAGACCUGUACUAACUUGGGCGAAUUUCCUAGCAAAAAUUUGAUAAGUAGCAUUGGUCUAUUUCUAGACAAUACUCUCUAUUGGUUGGAUACAAGUUAUUCAACUAUUUCAUAUGAUUAUGUUAGGAAGGCUUACAAUGAUCCUGUAGAGUUUCCUGACAAUUUUUUUCCCGAAGAGGGCGGUGAUUAUAUUUUGGACACUGUAUCUCAACUCUGCCUACUUAAAGACAAAGUUUCCAUCCUGUCUACCAUUCGCUUUCAACCUAAUGACUCCUUUAGUCAUUCCAUUUGGACAUUAGAGAUCGAGGGUGGAAAUUGGAAUCUGAUGUACAACAUCCAGUUUCCCAAUAUGGACUUUUCUAACGAUCCCCUAUGGAUAAUUCCUCUGUUUAUGGACGACGAUGACAAACUCAUAAUGCUACUCCAAAGGCCUCUAGAUUUUGCCAUAUUUGAUGUCACGCAUUCCAUUUUCCGUCGCCAUUCCAUCUUCCGUCUGACACAUAUAACUUCUCUGAUGGUGUGCGCUCUUUACCAAGAAAGCCUCGUUUGGCCCUUUUAAGUGAACUAAUGGGACAAAAGCUGAAUAAGAUCCAAAAUGUGAUCUAUUGGACUAUGAGUUCAUGCUAAAAGGUUUUGGAUGUCAAGGUAUGGUUAAGAUCCAAAAUGUGAUCUAUUCGACUAUGAGUUCAUGCUAAAAGGUUUUGGAUGUCAAGAUAAAAAACAGCUGGGUGAUGUUCUUCAAUGGAGUCAUUGCAUGCCAAUAGUCAGUCCUGAUGGAAACAAGUGACUCUAGGACACUGUCUUUUUCUAUUGGUUGGCAUACAUCUUGAUGUUUGAAAAAGUUUCAUUGUACAUUUCUGAUUUUUCUAUUGGUUGGCAUACAUCUUGAUGUUUGAAAAAGUUUCAUUGUACAUUUCUGAAAUUGAUUUGAAGAUACAUUUCCUAGUUGUACAACCAGCACUUCUUUGCCUUUGCUUCGUCGAUUUUAGUUUUAUAAGGUUGUGUUUAAUUUGUGCAAUGAUUAUGAUGGCAGUGGAUGCAUGGUAGAUGCCAGUGAAACUGCUAUGGUUUUACUUCAAAAAUUUUCGGGAUCAGGAAUUUGUGGAAGGGAACAUGUCACUCUUA